rnacentral:lncRNA from 10 species
AGUAUUGGGUUUUAUUCGGAGAAAGGAGGAGAGGAGAGUAGAAUUGGGUAGAAGGUUCAAUUUGUCUGAACUUGGUUGGCCUCACCCUUCACUGCUUGUUAACUACAUGAAAUCAUGAUUUAGCCAUGUCUAAUGUAAUUUGAUUGCUGGGAGGAUGCAAAUUUUCAUGUUUGCUUUUCACCUGAAUGUAUCAAAUUUCACUAUGCUUUAACCUCAUGCCUGUAAUCCCUGCACUUUGGGAAGCCAAGGUGGGCAGAUUACUUGAGGUUAGGAGUUCGAGACCAGCCUGACCAACAUGGUGAAAUCCCGUCUACUAAAAAUACAAAAAUUAGCCGAGCAUGGUAGUGCAUGCCUGUAAUCCCAGCUACUCAGGAGGCUGAGGCAGGAGAAUGGCUUGAACCUGGGAGGCG